rnacentral:rRNA from 1 species
GAUGAACGCUGGCGGCGUGCUUAAUACAUGCAAGUCGAGCGAACGGACGAGAAGCUUGCUUCUCUGAUGUUAGCGGCGGACGGGUGAGUAACACGUGGAUAACCUACCUAUAAGACUGGGAUAACUUCGGGAAACCGGAGCUAAUACCGGAUAAUAUUUUGAACCGCAUGGUUCAAAAGUGAAAGACGGUCUUGCUGUCACUUAUAGAUGGAUCCGCGCUGCAUUAGCUAGUUGGUAAGGUAACGGCUUACCAAGGCAACGAUGCAUAGCCGACCUGAGAGGGUGAUCGGCCACACUGGAACUGAGACACGGUCCAGACUCCUACGGGAGGCAGCAGUGGGGAAUCUUCCGCAAUGGGCGAAAGCCUGACGGAGCAACGCCGCGUGAGUGAUGAAGGUCUUCGGAUCGUAAAACUCUGUUAUUAGGGAAGAACAUAUGUGUAAGUAACUGUGCACAUCUUGACGGUACCUAAUCAGAAAGCCACGGCUAACUACGUGCCAGCAGCCGCGGUAAUACGUAGGUGGCAAGCGUUAUCCGGAAUUAUUGGGCGUAAAGCGCGCGUAGGCGGUUUUUUAAGUCUGAUGUGAAAGCCCACGGCUCAACCGUGGAGGGUCAUUGGAAACUGGAAAACUUGAGUGCAGAAGAGGAAAGUGGAAUUCCAUGUGUAGCGGUGAAAUGCGCAGAGAUAUGGAGGAACACCAGUGGCGAAGGCGACUUUCUGGUCUGUAACUGACGCUGAUGUGCGAAAGCGUGGGGAUCAAACAGGAUUAGAUACCCUGGUAGUCCACGCCGUAAACGAUGAGUGCUAAGUGUUAGGGGGUUUCCGCCCCUUAGUGCUGCAGCUAACGCAUUAAGCACUCCGCCUGGGGAGUACGACCGCAAGGUUGAAACUCAAAGGAAUUGACGGGGACCCGCACAAGCGGUGGAGCAUGUGGUUUAAUUCGAAGCAACGCGAAGAACCUUACCAAAUCCUGACAUCCUUUGACAACUCUAGAGAUAGAGCUUUCCCCUUCGGGGGACAAAGUGACAGGUGGUGCAUGGUUGUCGUCAGCUCGUGUCGUGAGAUGUUGGGUUAAGUCCCGCAACGAGCGCAACCCUUAAGCUUAGUUGCCAUCAUUAAGUUGGGCACUCUAAGUUGACUGCCGGUGACAAACCGGAGGAAGGUGGGGAUGACGUCAAAUCAUCAUGCCCCUUAUGAUUUGGGCUACACACGUGCUACAAUGGACAAUACAAAGGGCAGCGAAACCGCGAGGUCAAGCAAAUCCCAUAAAGUUGUUCUCAGUUCGGAUUGUAGUCUGCAACUCGACUACAUGAAGCUGGAAUCGCUAGUAAUCGUAGAUCAGCAUGCUACGGUGAAUACGUUCCCGGGUCU